UACAGAGGUGGCAAGCGUUGUUCGGAAUUACUGGGCGUAAAGGGCGAGUAGGUGGCCAUCUAAGUCAGACGUGAAAUCCCCCGGCUUAACCUGGGAACUGCGUCUGAUACUGGACGGCUUGAGUAUGGGAGAGGAACGUAGAAUUCCAGGUGUAGCGGUGAAAUGCGUAGAUAUCUGAAGGAAUACCGGUGGCGAAGGCGGCGUUCUGGACCAUUACUGACACUGAAUCGCGAAAGCUAGGGGAGCAAACGGG
rnacentral:rRNA from 1 species